UUUUUUUUUUUUUUUUUUUUUUUUUUUUUUCGAA
rnacentral:ribozyme from 1 species